UACGAAGGGUGCAAGCGUUGUUCGGAUUUAUUGGGCGUAAAGCGCGCGCAGGCGGAUCUGCAAGUCAUGUGUGAAAUCUCGGAGCUUAACUCCGAAAGUGCGCCUGAAACUACAGAUCUAGAAUGCCGGAGAGGGAAGGGGAAUUUCUCAUGUAGGGGUAAAAUCCGUAGAUAUGAGAAGGAACACCAGAGGCGAAGGCGCCUUCCUGGACGGCUAUUGACGCUGAGGCGCGAAAGCGUGGGGAGCAAAC
rnacentral:rRNA from 1 species